rnacentral:rRNA from 1 species
UGGGCAACCUGCCCCUCUCUCUGGGAUAACCCCGGGAAACCGGAGCUAAUACCGGAUACUCCGGCUGGAUCGCAUGGUCCGGCCGGGAAAGGUCCGCCGGAGAGGGAUGGGCCCGCGGCCUAUCAGCUUGUUGGUGGGGUAAUGGCUCACCAAGGCGACGACGGAUAACCGGCCUGAGAGGGCGACCGGUCACACUGGGACUGAGACACGGCCCAGACUCCUACGGGAGCA